UGAUUUUCGGAGAUCAAAGCUAUUGAUUAGACUUUGACUCGCAAAAUAAGAAGUCACCACCGAACUUUAAUUUAUCCAAGGGAAGGGGAAAAGAUCGAAUAAAACCCACAAAUAAACAUGCAAAGCUAAAGAAGCAAUAAAGCAAUAAGCAAUGCAAUAAGAGAUCAAGGUACGGGGGUUGAUUAUGUAAAGGGAAGGUAUUAGCACCCUAAACAUUUAUAGUACUCUAUAGGAACCU
rnacentral:lncRNA from 1 species